UCUAUAUUCAUAGUACUAGAUGUGUCACAUCCAGUACUAGGUUGGUGUUUUAUGGGACGAAGGGAGUAGAUCUUUUGCUAAGUGGAGGCUAAAUUCUCAUCAUCAGAGGAGUAUACUACUCCAUCCGUCCCAUAAUAUAAGGGAUAAUGGGUGGAUGCGACACAUCCUAGUAAAAUGAAUCUGGA
rnacentral:pre_miRNA from 1 species